CCUACGGGUGGCAGCAGUGGGGAAUAUUGGACAAUGGGGGCAACCCUGAUCCAGCCAUGCCGCGUGUGUGAAGAAGGCCCUCGGGUUGUAAAGCACUUUCAGUGAGGAAGAACGCCUGGUGGUUAAUACCCAUCAGGAAAGACAUCACUCACAGAAGAAGCCCCGGCUAACUCCGUGCCAGCAGCCGCGGUAAUACGGAGGGUGCGAGCGUUAAUCGGAAUUACUGGGCGUAAAGCGCGCGUAGGUGGCUUGAUAAGCCGGUUGUGAAAGCCCCGGGCUCAACCUGGGAACGGCAUCCGGAACUGUCAAGCUAGAGUGCAGGAGAGGAAGGUAGAAUUCCCGGUGUAGCGGUGAAAUGCGUAGAGAUCGGGAGGAAUACCAGUGGCGAAGGCGGCCUUCUGGACUGACACUGACACUGAGGUGCGAAAGCGUGGGUAGCAAACAGGAUUAGAUACCCGAGUAGUC
rnacentral:rRNA from 1 species